rnacentral:piRNA from 1 species
UCCCACGUUGAGCGUUCGUUCUAAGAGCU